rnacentral:rRNA from 1 species
CCUACGGGUGGCUGCAGUGGGGAAUAUUGGACAAUGGGGGGGAACCCUGAUCCAGCCAUGCCGCGUGUGUGAAGAAGGCCCUCGGGUUGUAAAGCACUUUCAGUGAGGAAGAACGCCUGGUGGUUAAUACCCAUCAGGAAAGACAUCACUCACAGAAGAAGCACCGGCUAACUCCGUGCCAGCAGCCGCGGUAAUACGGAGGGUGCGAGCGUUAAUCGGAAUUACUGGGCGUAAAGCGCGCGUAGGUGGCUUGAUAAGCCGGUUGUGAAAGCCCCGGGCUCAACCUGGGAACGGCAUCCGGAACUGUCAAGCUAGAGUGCAGGAGAGGAAGGUAGAAUUCCCGGUGUAGCGGUGAAAUGCGUAGAGAUCGGGAGGAAUACCAGUGGCGAAGGCGGCCUUCUGGACUGACACUGACACUGAGGUGCGAAAGCGUGGGUAGCAAACAGGAUUAGAUACCCGAGUAGUC